rnacentral:rRNA from 1 species
CCAGACUCCUACGGGAGGCAGCAGUAGGGAAUCUUCGGCAAUGGGGGCAACCCUGACCGAGCAACGCCGCGUGAGUGAAGAAGGUUUUCGGAUCGUAAAGCUCUGUUGUAAGUCAAGAACGAGUGUGAGAGUGGAAAGUUCACACUGUGACGGUAGCUUACCAGAAAGGGACGGCUAACUACGUGCCAGCAGCCGCGGUAAUACGUAGGUCCCGAGCGUUGUCCGGAUUUAUUGGGCGUAAAGCGAGCGCAGGCGGUUUGAUAAGUCUGAAGUUAAAGGCUGUGGCUCAACCAUAGUUCGCUUUGGAAACUGUCAAACUUGAGUGCAGAAGGGGAGAGUGGAAUUCCAUGUGUAGCGGUGAAAUGCGUAGAUAUAUGGAGGAACACCGGUGGCGAAAGCGGCUCUCUGGUCUGUAACUGACGCUGAGGCUCGAAAGCGUGGGGAGCGAACAGGAUUAGAUACCCUGGUAGUCCACGCCGUAAACGAUGAGUGCUAGGUGUUGGAUCCUUUCCGGGAUUCAGUGCCGCAGCUAACGCAUUAAGCACUCCGCCUGGGGAGUACGACCGCAAGGUUGAAACUCAAAGGAAUUGACGGGGGCCCGCACAAGAGG